rnacentral:rRNA from 1 species
GACGAACGCUGGCGGCGUGCUUAACACAUGCAAGUCGAACGAAAAGAGGGAAAGAGCUUGCUCUUUCCGGAAUUGAGUGGCAAACGGGUGAGUAACACGUAAACAACCUGCCUUCAGGAUGGGGACAACAGACGGAAACGACUGCUAAUACCGAAUAAGUUCCAAGGGCCGCAUGGCCCAUGGAAGAAAAGGUGGCCUCUACCUGUAAGCUAUCGCCUGAAGAGGGGUUUGCGUCUGAUUAGCUGGUUGGAGGGGUAACGGCCCACCAAGGCGACGAUCAGUAGCCGGUCUGAGAGGAUGAACGGCCACACUGGAACUGAGACACGGUCCAGACUCCUACGGGAGGCAGCAGUGGGGAAUCUUCCGCAAUGGGCGAAAGCCUGACGGAGCAACGCCGCGUGAGUGAUGACGGCCUUCGGGUUGUAAAACUCUGUGAUCCGGGACGAAAAGGCAGAGUGCGAAGAACAAACUGCUUUGACGGUACCGGAAAAGCAAGCCACGGCUAACUACGU